UAUAAGUGUGGUUGUGAUUUUUUUUUCUCCAACAUUUGAGCAUCCGUCUUAUUUAAGAAAAAAAUAUGAUUAGUAUUUUUAUUGUUAUUAGAUGAUAAAACAUGAAUAAUACUUUAUGUGUGACUUUUAUAAUUUGUUUUUAAAUUUUUUUAAAUAAGACGGACGGUCAAAUGUUAAACAUAGAAACCCACACCUGCACUUAUU
rfam:Oryza sativa (indica cultivar-group) chromosome 8, whole genome shotgun sequence.